GACCGAAUUGAAGUUGGAUGC
rnacentral:misc_RNA from 1 species